GAUGAACGCUGACAGAAUGCUUAACACAUGCAAGUCAACUUGAACUUCGGUUUGGGUGGCGGACGGGUGAGUAACGCGUAAAGAACUUGCCUCACAGCUAGGGACAACAUUUGGAAACGAAUGCUAAUACCUGAUAUUAUGAUUUUAGGGCAUCCUAGAAUUAUGAAAGCUAUAUGCGUUGUGAGAGAGCUUUGCGUCCCAUUAGCUAGUUGGAGAGGUAACGGCUCACCAAGGCGAUGAUGGGUAGCCGGCCUGAGAGGGUGAACGGCCACAAGGGGACUGAGACACGGCCCUUACUCCUACGGGAGGCAGCAGUGGGGAAUAUUGGACAAUGGACCAAGAGUCUGAUCCAGCAAUUCUGUGUGCACGAUGAAGUUUUUCGGAAUGUAAAGUGCUUUCAGUUGGGAAGAAAAAAAUGACGGUACCAACAGAAGAAGUGACGGCUAAAUACGUG
rnacentral:rRNA from 1 species